rnacentral:rRNA from 1 species
GAUCAUGGCUCAGAUUGAACGCUGGCGGCAUGCCUUACACAUGCAAGUCGAACGGCAGCACGGGAGCAAUCCUGGUGGCGAGUGGCGAACGGGUGAGUAAUAUAUCGGAACGUGCCCAGUCUGGGGGAUAACGUAGCGAAAGCUACGCUAAUACCGCAUACGAUCUAUGGAUGAAANCGGGGGAUCGCAAGACCUCGCGCGAUUGGAGCGGCCGAUAUCAGAUUAGGUAGUUGGUGGGGUAAAGGCCUACCAAGCCGACGAUCCUUAGCUGGUCUGAGAGGAUGAUCAGCCACACUGGUACUGAGACACGGACCAGACUCCUACGGGAGGCAGCAGUGAGGAAUAUUGGACAAUGGGCGCAAGCCUGAUCCAGCAAUGCCGCGUGAGUGAUGAAGGCCUUAGGGUUGUAAAGCUCUUUUACCCGGGAUGAUAAUGACAGUACCGGGAGAAUAAGCUCCGGCUAACUCCGUG